CCGAUGGGAACGCCUCGCCUCCGGCUCCGCCCUCACCUCAACAGCUGCCCCACGGACGCAGACCUGCGCCGGAGGAGGACCGUUCCAGGAGCUGGAAACAAUUAAUGAUCAAAUGAAAGCCCUGGCCUCCAGUUCACUUCGGGGAAUGCCUUUCUCCCAAGCUUCUACUUCAGUGCUGUGGAUGUGUCUGUUUGGAGGUCUAAUUUGUUUAAUAUAGCAUAGCCUGGUUGGGAGUUCUGGAACCCAGUGUCCCAGGAGUUCUGUGGGAGAGUUGGCCUGCAACUGGUGAUCAGCCCAUCAAGCUUCAUCUCCCAGUGUUUCCAACAAUGCCAACUAUCGGGUGGCCACUAGGGGGAAGCAGACGCCUUUGCAAGGCCCUUUCUACACUUCUGACAGGUCUCAGAUCUGCUCACCUCCACUCAUGUUGCAACCUAUUCUACCCUACCCCAAACCUAGACCUGCCCUUCCUCUUUCCCAGGAAUCACCAACUGAGGUUCUUUCGUUCUGUGUAAAUUGCCUGAGAAUAUCCGCCCAGGGCUCCUUUUCUUAAAAUAAUUAAAUUUAUGGAGGUAGAUGGAAUUGUCCCUUUCCUCCCCACCUCUUGCUUUCCAAAACCUGUUAUAGCCAGUCUAACUCCGGCAGAGAAUACUCACACAGUUAAAAUGUUACCCACGUCUGCCAGCCCCACCAUCUGAAGGAUUGAAGCUAGUUCAGACCUGAGCCACUCGGCCUAGAAAAGGGCUGCCUCCACAGGACGCUCCACAGCUGAGGACUAACUAGCUUUAGCAACUCCAAAUCUGCCCCAUUGUCCUACCAGGAGCCUGGAAAUGCAGGAGCACUCAACCAUUUUCGGGUGUGCAAAAAUAGGAAAAGCCCAGCGAGUGACACUGCCUACAGGACCUGUUAGCAGCCUGUGCUACCUCCAUGUGCUGCCCACGUGCCCGUUGUUCUGUGAUCGU